CGGAGUGUAGCGCAGCCUGGUAGCGCACAUCGUUCGGGAUGAUGGGAUCGCAGGUUCAAAUCCUGCCACUCCGACCA
rnacentral:tRNA from 1 species